AGAAUUGAAACUGUAAAGCUGAAAAGUGGGAUUUAUGAAAAAGGUAUAAAGAGGUUUAUUUUCAAGGCCAUUAACAUUUGUGCUUCAGACCUAUUUCAUAUGGAACAGGAGGGAAUGUUUUCCAUCUUUAAGAGCACAAUUCACUUAUUAAAAUGUUCAGCAUUUUACUUUUGACUGCAAAUAUAAAAAUGUCCAUGGAAGGGUCAUAUGUCCUAGUCCUAGACAGAACCCAGCUAUGUCUCUGGUUCCUUUUAGGACUUCACGUGAGCUGAGACGGAAUGUCUGGCGCGUUCCGGUGUCACUGGAGUCUGUGUCGCCGGACGCAGAGCUUUGUGCACAGCACAAUCUCUGCCCGAAGGAAUCAAAAGUCCUGCGAGGCUCCAUCUCCGCUGACUGCUUUGUGUCGGACACCAAAUGCAAGCUUAAAUCCGCCGCUGCAGACAUGAAGACUGAGAGAAGAUGCGCUCAGACGCUGACAGCGAGCGGGCAGGUGAUAGAUCUGCUCCAAAAAGACGGGCAAGGCAUUUUGGAGACGCAGGACGAAACCAGAUACGUUGAUUUGGAGUCAGAGGGCGAGAGGGUCAGUCGCUUUGGUCAGAGAAACCAAGUGUCUGUUGUUAAAAACGGCGAAUUCGAAGCUGUUUGCGCGUCGGAAUCAAACUCUGGCCUGAACGAGAUGCAUGCUGAGGAGGGCGAAAACAUCAGAGGUGAGAAAUGUGUGGUAAAUGGCAGAGAUUUCCCCUCCCCAUCUUCCUCACCUUGCCUCCAAACAGGAGUGAAAAGCGGCGAGAGCGCAGUUACGCAAAACAACGUGUCCAGAGGACAGGGCAGUAACGCAGAGCGCGAUGAGGAAUCUCACAGCACCAACAGCAAUCUGAGUGGAAAAAGUGAGUGGGAGGACUGUGAGGAGGUGGAUAAUGUCAGCCUGGUGCUCUCUGAUGAAUCCGCUCCAUGCGUAACCGAGGACCAUUACAUUACCACGCACGAGAUUCAGCUCUCAGAGCUGUCUGAUCGUGAAGGGGACUACGACCUGGGCGUGGGCUCCUCUGCCAGCUGGGAAAUUGAAGAUGACAGCCAGGUGUACCCGUUUGUGGAUUACUCCUUUGAGGGCGGCGAGGCUGCGGGGGAGAGGGGGGCCGGUCUUUCGCUCCGCUCCCAGGGUGCAGCGGCAGCAGCAGCAGCGGUCAGCACUCUGCUUGAAAGUGAUCUGCGCGACGCCGCCAAGCACUGUGGCUCAGAUGAGCCCGAAGAGAAGCAGCUCGGUGGCAGCAGCGGGGGACAGAUCCACCUGUCAAUCAGAACCACAUCCCGAGCUAUAAAUGACCCCGGCAGCAUCCAAGAAGAGGGAAAUAUUCUUUAUCAUACCAGGCGCGCCGGAGACAUUAGUCGCUAUUUGUUUAGGGGAGUGGAUGGGAAGGCAGAGACCUUGUGUGACAGGGCGAAGUGUUUCAUAGCGGCGCCCGGACGCCUGCACUUUGGCGGCAGAUUGAAGGGAAAAGAGGUCACCGAGUAUUCCAGCGGCACGUCCAGCGCUGUCAGCGAGCUGGACGACGCUGACAAGGAGGUGCGCAACCUCACAGCCAGAGCCUUCAAGAGCCUGGCCUACCCUUACUUUGAUGCCAUCAAUUUUAGCACCUCCAGUGAGUCAUCUGCAUCAGAGCAUGGCCUGGGGAUAAACAGAUGGUCCACGUUUCUGGAUCUAAAAUAUGGCAACAUGAACGUGUCCCAGGGACUGGACCAAAGUGUGGUUUCUUCUCAAAACUCAGCGGCAUCACACGAAAUAGCCAAAAACAGAGAAACCCGAGCUUAUAAGGGCAUCAAACCAUCAACCUUUACUUUGAAUGCCAACCCCCGCAGCGCAUCGUCAUCAAAGCAGAUCCAGCUGAUGGGGAAGUUUGGGCAGGGCCACGGUGGAGUGAUCAGACUCACAGAGACUCUGAAUUUUCGCUGCAAUGUCAAAUCGGGAAUGUCUGGGGGAGAAAGGCGCACUAACUUUGUGCAAAACGCUGCAGGAUCACGUUCCACGGAUGAGGUUACCAAGAGCCUGCAGAGCAGCCAGCAGAGAGGGGCCAGCAAGCACCCGUCUAAUACCAUGGAAGAUACACAUAAGAAAGCCAUUUUCGCCACCAGCGUGAUCAAAAAUGUUCUUUCUAAGAAGAUGCAGUUCGAGCAGGAGCGCAAGAUGGAGCGAGGGGAGAUCCGUGAGCCACAGAAAGCGCCCUCUCCGUGCUUUGUGCAGCAGGAAAGCGACAGUAAGUGGAGGGGGAGCAGGGAGCUGGAGAGACAGAGUUCCAAGUUCUCUGAGAGCGGAUCCGACUAUGCUAUAAUGUGCGUGGAUGAAUUAGGAGACAUUGUGGACAGCGGCUCAUGUGAUAGUAAGAGACAAGACGCGUCUGCUCCUGCAACAGAAACUAAUUUAAACUCGGCCAAUGAAGCUGGGAUUGAUACUAAAAAAGGCGCACUGCUUCGCAGCCAAAAUAGCGCAUUCAGAUGCUGGAAGGACGAGGUGCUAGGGUUUCAAAAGGAUCAUAAAAACCAUCAAACUCUGGAGGACAAGUUGCCUCCAGUUGAUGACAAAAAGAGUGAGGGGGAUCCGUCCUCAGCAGGCUGCGGUAAAGUGACUAAAAUGUCUCGUUUGUUUGUGCCAAGUAUCCAACUGCUGCCCAGUGACGGAGAGAUGGGAUCGCAGCUGCACAGGGGAGCUUAUUCCCGGAAUGGAAACCACACUUUAUACAUCACUGACUCCAGGAACGCAAAACCAUCUAAAUCCCCGGAAAUUAAAAUCAACCUGAGAAGCGUCAGAGACAGCAAAACGGAACAGUUUGGGGUCUCCAAGCUGCGCCUCCCGAAUAUCACCUGUAGCGCAUCGAGCCUGAUCAGGAAAGAGGAUUUAAAAUGUCAAGCCUUGGCUGCUGCUCUGAAGGGUGAGUCCUCGGAUAAGGUUCCGCAUUUCAUGGUUAGAGACAUCAGAGAUAAUAAAGGGAAGUUACAAACUCCCAUUCACCAAGUCAGAGAUGUGCGUAAACUGGUUAAAAGUUCCUAUCACUUUGUUUCUUCGGAUAACAACGAAACCAAAGCCGGCUCUUUCCGCUCUGAAAGCCAGUCAGAGCAAAAGAAGCAGAUGCACAGCUGGAAUCCUAACUCUGUGUCUCCUAUAGUCAUAAAAUGUCAGUCUGUAAAUACUAACAAUACUGAAAAACCUACAGACAACCUUGAGUUUGACACAUGGAGAUCAUCUCCAGAAGCUGCUAACAGCCCUCCACCCCAGAGGACAUCAGGGAGAGCACCACAUACUUCAAACAGCUCAGAGGAAAGCACCGAGAUGAGCAGUGAGAGCAAAAUAGGCCAGACAAAGCAAGAAACAGUGUCAGACACGACAGAAAAUAAGCUGGAGUCGAAGGUGGCGAAUCAGGCGGCUCUGGAGAAACUCCAGGCCGCCGUGAAAACCAUGGAGCAACUUUAUGUGUUUGAAAAAAAUGAGUGGAAAAGAAAGAGUGAGCCCCAGCGUCUGACCGGCAGCCAUGUGCUGUCACUGAUAGCCAGUGAGGAGCAGAACGAUUCCGAGGAAGGAGGGAGAGGGUUCAACAUAGACAAGGCAGCCAGAAGAGACUCCUACCCCAAUAUAGACAAGACCUCCCCAGCAUUAUCAGCACCUCCCAGCACUGACAGCUCCCUGAGGUGGGAGGACAAGGAACUACUAAGAGUGCUUCAGACUUCAAGCAGCCACGAUGAAAGCUUGCUUACUAAGUCAAUGCAAACAGUUGGCACCACAGGGAGCAAGAACAUGUCCAGCUUUAGCUCCAAACCUAAGGCCUACACAGCUGCUAAUGCUUUUCAGCCAAACACCAUCACGCACGCACCUUUCAGUGGCAAAACCUUUGCACCAAAAUCCCCUAAAUUGCCUGCGUCAUUUAAACCCAGUCAGACAGCAAUCAGUGGGAGGGAAGAUGCUGAGUCAAGGGGUGUGGACCGAUUUGAACAUCGGUUUUCAGGUGCAUCAGUUGACAACGAGAACUACUUAACCAUCCCGGUUAAAUCUCAGCCCAGCUACAGAAAACCUGUAGAAAAGACAUUUAGCCAUCAGUCGCAGCCGACCCCGCCUGCAGGACACGAAGAACCUCCCUCUCGAGGUCAGGAGGACCACAAUCGGACGAAACGCUCCAGCAUUGUAAUGGAGACCCAUUCACCAGAGAUUUCCUCUGCUGCUAUUUAUCACUCUCUGCCAUUGGCUGCUAAUCAGCCACAGAUGUAUUGUUUUUCCCCAGCAAUGACUCCAGCCCCCAUCAUGGACCCCUUUCAGGCCACACAGAGGAAAAUGCUGCUGGAUCCCACCACAGGGAACUACUACCUGGUGGACACGCCGCUCUCCCCAGCCACAAGGCGUCUUUUUGACCCAGAAACAGGGCAGUACGUGGACGUACCCAUGCCACAGCCUCCGAUGACACCAGUACCGAUGCCCAUCUCACCGCUGGCGCUCAGUCCUGGAGCAUAUGGUCAUACCUACAUGAUCUACCCAGGCUUCAUGCCAACGCCUUCGGUGAUACCUGCCCGAACGCUGGUACAGUCGCAGAUGUCAGUGCCAUCCGAGGCAGAGAGCGUGGAGAAGGCUUCGUCUCACCAGACUGAGGGAAUGUACAUGGAGAGUCCCUUCUAUAUGGCAACCGGGAAGGCUCCCCAGGCGGUUCCAGGGGCCCAACAACAGAAUCCCUCCAACAGGCCACAGCAUGGAUUCUCCAGCCUCAAUCAGCCACUCAUCAGCAUCACCUCUCAGCAAGGGCCCCGGAUAAUCGCCCCACCCUCGUUCGAUGGGACCACCAUGAGUUUUGUGGUAGAGCACAGAUGAGUUGCAGCUCAGCUGGACAGGACUGGGGCUUUUGUGGAUGCUGGCCUGCUCCGGGUUUAUCCUCUUCGUGGUUUUACACUGCUGUUAAAUCUGAUGAACGAUAUCUUUGCUGUUCAGUUUCUUUGAGAAUGUGGAGCUGCUGGACAGUCUCUGCUACUCUGAUGUUUAGGUAAAUGUUACAAAGAUGUUUGGCAUCACCAUUAUUCCAGAUUAGUCUUUUAUAAUGUAUGCUAUGCGUAACUGACACUAAUGUUUGUUAUUAGAGGGAAAACUGUAUUUGAUACAAAUCAAUUUUCCCAUUUUUAGACAUUUUCUCCAUUUUAAUUUUUGUCUAAAGUACUACACACACACACACACACA